UACGAAGGGGGCUAGCGUUGCUCGGAAUCACUGGGCGUAAAGGGUGCGUAGGCGGGUCUUAAGUCAGGGGUGAAAUCCUGGAGCUCAACUCCAGAACUGCCUUUGAUACUGAAGAUCUUGAGUUCGGGAGAGGUGAGUGGAACUGCGAGUGUAGAGGUGAAAUUCGUAGAUAUCGGGAGGAACACCAGUGGCGAAGGCGGCGAUCUGGGAAGAUACUGACGCUGAGGUGCGAAAGCGUGGGGAGCAAACAGG
rnacentral:rRNA from 1 species